rnacentral:rRNA from 1 species
AUUGAACGCUGGCGGCAUGCCUUACACAUGCAAGUCGAACGGCAGCAUAGGAGCUUGCUCCUGAUGGCGAGUGGCGAACGGGUGAGUAAUAUAUCGGAACGUGCCCUAGAGUGGGGGAUAACUAGUCGAAAGACUAGCUAAUACCGCAUACGAUCUACUGAUGAAAGUGGGGGAUCGCAAGACCUCAUGCUCCUGGAGCGGCCGAUAUCUGAUUAGCUAGUUGGUGGGGUAAAAGCCUACCAAGGCAACGAUCAGUAGCUGGUCUGAGAGGACGACCAGCCACACUGGGACUGGGACACGGCCCAGACUCCUACGGGAGGCAGCAGUGGGGAAUUUUGGACAAUGGGGGCAACCCUGAUCCAGCAAUGCCGCGUGAGUGAAGAAGGCCUUCGGGUUGUAAAGCUCUUUUGUCAGGGAAGAAACGGUAGUAGCGAAUAACUACUACUAAUGACGGUACCUGAAGAAUAAGCACCGGCUAACUACGUGCCAGCCGCCGCCGUAA